AGCAAUGUUCUCAUGCUUCAAAGUUCGAAUUUUCGAUUGGUUUUGAUAUAGGUUUAAGAGCCAUACGCCUCGGUCCGGAAGUUGAACAAUCUUAGAAGCAGUAGGUUUUAGGUUAAUGUGGUAAAUUAGAUGUUCUGUGACUGUCAGUGAUGAGACAUUAUCUCCGAUACCAAAAUUUGGGUCCGGUUUACUUUGGGAGGGUAAUUGAAUCAAGGGUGUUUUACAUAAGGUGCUAAAAUGUGGCCCGGGAUACUUCCCAAGGUGAACACUACUGUAUGUUCUAGUAUUUGGAGAGUGAUAAGCAGGAGCUGGCUAGGAGAUUUGAAAACUUUACUACCUUGUCGUGGAAAAUUGUUGUCACGGAGUUCAGGGUUGUCUUGUAGUGUACCGUAUGCAACCCUUUUGAUAUCAGACGCAACUAGAUAUAGUUCCAGUCCUCCUGCGUAAGGGAAAAUCUAUGGCUGCUUCAAGUUCGACACCUGUCUUUGGUGACGUUUAUGUUGAUGAAUUAAUUUCAAGUUGCAGGAAUUCAUUUGACUUAUCAAAACCUACAGGUGUUUAUUUUAGUGAUAGACGGCAGAGCAGUUUACUGAAACCUAGCUUUGAGGGAUAUCCAGACGUCAUCUUCCUUAUGCAACGCUACUGGUGCUGUUCAUAAUUUGACAUUUCAUAAUUUGACAUUUGAUGGCAACUCUAAUGAUGAACAACCAGCAAACUCUACCAUUUUGUCUGACCAGUAUGUGCUCUAUCUGUUGUUUACUUUGCCUAUUUCAUUGUUUAGCCAUUUACUCAGCACUCGUAGAUUUCUUUUUUUGUUUAGAAUGGAAUUAAGGGUUAUCUUCUAUGCACGCUUACUUGUUAAUUGAUGUAUGUAAAACAAUAUGAAUAGCAAACACAAUUGAUUAGUGUUUACUUAAUUUGAGUUGGGGUUAUAGCACUGUCUCAAGCCAAUGUAGGCAAUUUAUGUCCUCAGCGCCAUGUAUUAGAUUGGAAGACACUUUCACAAGUCACGUCUAUAAGAUUUACAGAACAGUAUAUUCCUUGGUUUCAUUUCAGACAGACCAAAAGCUCUGAAGCUACUUUCAGGAUCAUGUUACCUGCCACAUCCUGAUAAGGAGGCGACAGGAGGAGAGGAUGCCCAUUUCAUUUGUGAAGAUGCACAAGCAAUUGGUGUAGCAGAUGGUGUGGGUGGAUGGGCAGAUGUUGGUGUCAAUGCUGGAUUCUUUUCACGUGAACUUAUGUCUCAUUCUGUAAGGGCAAUUCAAGAGGAACCUGAGGGUUGCUUUAACCCCGCCAGGGUGUUAGAGAAGGCUUGCUCAUGUACCAAAGCAAAGGGUUCCUCAACAGCUUGCAUUAUUGGCCUUACGGAAAAGGUUUGGUUUUUCAUUUUGACUAACCUUUCCUGCAGACCUCUAUAAUUUGUCGGGAUGCUUUUCCAAUUUUGACCAUGUUAUGAAAGAUGUGAUCUGGUUUGUGGAGACAAUCAUGUGCAUCAUACUACUGACAUAUAUGGACAUAAAUGAUAUUGGCGUUUAGUAUAUAUCCGUUACUAUGUGCAAA